rnacentral:rRNA from 1 species
AGGCUUUGAAGCGUGGACGCCAGUCUGCGUGGAGCCGACCUUGAAAUACCACCCUUUAAUGUUUGAUGUUCUAACGUGGACCCGUAAUCCGGGUUGCGGACAGUGUCUGGUGGGUAGUUUGACUGGGGCGGUCUCCUCCUAAAGAGUAACGGAGGAGCACGAAGGUUGGCUAAUCCUGGUCGGACAUCAGGAGGUUAGUGCAAUGGCAUAAGCCAGCUUGACUGCGAGCGUGACGGCGCGAGCAGGUGCGAAAGCAGGUCAUAGUGAUCCGGUGGUUCUGAAUGGAAGGGCCAUCGCUCAACGGAUAAAAGGUACUCCGGGGAUAACAGGCUGAUACCGCCCAAGAGUUCAUAUCGACGGCGGUGUUUGGCACCUCGAUGUCGGCUCAUCACAUCCUGGGGCUGAAGUAGGUCCCAAGGGUAUGGCUGUUCGCCAUUUAAAGUGGUACGCGAGCUGGGUUUAGAACGUCGUGAGACAGUUCGGUCCCUAUCUGCCGUGGGCGCUGGAAGACUGAGGGGGGCUGCUCCUAGUACGAGAGGACCGGAGUGGACGCAUCACUGGUGUUCGGGUUGUCAUGCCAAUGGCACUGCCCGGUAGCUAAAUGCGGAAAAGAUAAGUGCUGAAAGCAUCUAAGCACGAAACUUGCCCCGAGAUGAGUCUUCCCUGAGACUUUGAGUCUCCUGAAGGAACGUUAAAGACGAUGACGUUGAUAGGCCGGGUGUGUAAGCGCAGCGAUGCGUUGAGCUAACCGGUACUAAUGAACCGUGAGG